rnacentral:rRNA from 1 species
UACGGAGGGUGCAAGCGUUAUCCGGAUUCACUGGGUUUAAAGGGUGUGUAGGCGGAUAUUUAAGUCAGUGGUGAAAUCUCCAGGCUCAACCUGGAAACUGCCCAUUGAUACUAUUUAUCUUGAAUAUCGUUUGAGGUAGGCGGAAUAUGUCAUGUAGCGGUGAAAUGCUUAGAGAUGACAUAGAACACCGAUUGCGAAGGCAGCUUACUAAACGAUUAUUGACGCUGAGGCACGAAAGCGUGGGGAUCAAACAGG